AAUUGGAGGGCAAGUCUGGUGCCAGCAGCUGCGGUAAUUCCAGCUCCAAUAGCGUAUAUUAAAGUUGUUGCAGUUAAAAAGCUCGUAGUUGAAUUUCGGGAUCAAUAUUUCGGUCAUGCCGUUGGUAUGCACUGUUAUCAUUGAUUUCUCACCUUCUAAAGAACCGUAAUGCCAUUAAUUUGGUGUUACGGGGAAUUAGGACUGUUACCUUGAAAAAAUUAGAGUGUUUAAAGCAGGCUCACGCUUGAAUACAUUAGCAUGGAAUAAUGAAAUAGGACAUCCGAUUCUAUUUUGUUGGUUUCUAGGAUCGAUGUAAUGAUUAAUAGGGAUAGUUGGGGGCAUUAGUAUUCAAUUGUCAGAGGUGAAAUUCUUGGAUUUAUUGAAGACUAACUACUGCGAAAGCAUUUGCCAAGGAUGUUUUCAUUAAUCAAGAACGAAAGUUAGGGGAUCGAAGACGAUCAGAUACCGUCGUAGUCUUAACCAUAAACUAUGCCGACUAGGGAUCGGAUGAUGUUAAUUUUUUAAUGACUCAUUCGGCGCCUUACGGGAAACCAAAGUGU
rnacentral:rRNA from 1 species